rnacentral:rRNA from 1 species
GACGAACGCUGGCGGCGUGCUUAACACAUGCAAGUCGAACGGAAAGGCCCUGCUUUUGUGGGGUGCUCGAGUGGCGAACGGGUGAGUAACACGUGAGUAACCUGCCCUUGACUUUGGGAUAACUUCAGGAGACUGGGGCUAAUACCGGAUAGGAGCUCCUGCUGCAUGGUGGGGGUUGGAAAGUUUCGGCGGUUGGGGAUGGACUCGCGGCUUAUCAGCUUGUUGGUGGGGUAGUGGCUUACCAAGGCUUUGACGGGUAGCCGGCCUGAGAGGGUGACCGGCCACAUUGGGACUGAGAUACGGCCCAGACUCCUACGGGAGGCAGCAGUGGGGAAUAUUGCACAAUGGGCGGAAGCCUGGUGCAGCAACGCCGCGUGCGGGAUGACGGCCUUCGGGUUGUAAACCGCUUUCGCCUGUGACGAAGCGUGAGUGACGGUAAUGGGUAAAGAAGCACCGGCUAACUACGUG